rnacentral:rRNA from 1 species
CUUUCCCUCUUUCUUCCUGCCUUACACAUGCAAGUCGAACGGCAGCACGGGUGCUUGCACCUGGUGGCGAGUGGCGAACGGGUGAGUAAUACAUCGGAACAUGUCCUGUAGUGGGGGAUAGCCCGGCGAAAGCCGGAUUAAUACCGCAUACGAUCUACGGAUGAAAGCGGGGGACCUUCGGGCCUCGCGCUAUAGGGUUGGCCGAUGGCUGAUUAGCUAGUUGGUGGGGUAAAGGCCUACCAAGGCGACGAUCAGUAGCUGGUCUGAGAGGACGACCAGCCACACUGGGACUGAGACACGGCCCAGACUCCUACGGGAGGCAGCAGUGGGGAAUUUUGGACAAUGGGCGAAAGCCUGAUCCAGCAAUGCCGCGUGUGUGAAGAAGGCCUUCGGGUUGUAAAGCACUUUUGUCCGGAAAGAAAUCCUUGGCCCUAAUACGGUCGGGGGAUGACGGUACCGGAAGAAUAAGCACCGGCUAACUACGUG